GGCGAGUGAGCGGCAAAAGCUCAAAUUUGAAAUCUGGCACUUUCAGUGUCCGAGUUGUAAUUUGAAGAAGGUAUCUUUGGGUCUGGCUCUUGUCUAUGUUUCUUGGAACAGAACGUCACAGAGGGUGAGAAUCCCGUGCGAUGAGAUGUCCCAGACCUAUGUAAAGUUCCUUCGAAGAGUCGAGUUGUUUGGGAAUGCAGCUCUAAGUGGGUGGUAAAUUCCAUCUAAAGCUAAAUAUUGGCGAGAGACCGAUAGCGAACAAGUACAGUGAUGGAAAGAUGAAAAGAACUUUGAAAAGAGAGUGAAAAAGUACGUGAAAUUGUUGAAAGGGAAGGGCUUGAGAUCAGACUUGGUAUUUUGUAUGUUACUCUCUCGGGGGUGGCCUCUACAGUUUACCGGGCCAGCAUCAGUUUGGGCGGUAGGACAAUUGCAAAGAAAUGUGGCACUGCCUCGGUAGUGUGUUAUAGUCUUUGUCGAUACUGCCAGCCUAGACUGAGGACUGCGGCUUCGGCCUAGGAUGUUGGCAUAAUGAUCUUAAGUCGCCCGUCUU
rnacentral:rRNA from 1 species